rnacentral:rRNA from 1 species
CCUACGGGGUGCUGCAGUGAGGAAUAUUGGUCAAUGGACGAGGGUCUGAACCAGCCAAGUAGCGUGAAGGAUGACUGCCCUAUGGGUUGUAAACUUCUUUUAUAUGGGAAUAAAAUGUUCCACGUGUGGGAUUUUGUAUGUACCAUAUGAAUAAGGAUCGGCUAACUCCGUGCCAGCAGCCGCGGUAAUACGGAGGAUCCGAGCGUUAUCCGGAUUUAUUGGGUUUAAAGGGAGCGUAGGUGGAUUGUUAAGUCAGUUGUGAAAGUUUGCGGCUCAACCGUAAAAUUGCAGUUGAAACUGGCAGUCUUGAGUACAGUAGAGGUGGGCGGAAGUCGUGGUGUAGCGGUGAAAUGCUGAGAUAUCACGAAGAACUCCGAUUGCGAAGGCAGUUCACUGGACUGCAACUGACACUGAGGCUCGAAAGUGUGGGUAUCAAACAGGAUUAGAUACCCCGGUAGUC